rnacentral:sRNA from 1 species
AUGUAUAAACAUGACAUGUCCAAAGAUAACAAUCAAGUACGCAUGUAAUUUGGACAGGUAAAGAAGUUCGACAACUGUUGUCUGCCAGUAGCUGGACAGUAUUUAAAUAAGCAAAGUGACUUCCCUCCCUUACUUAGUUUCUUUGACCAGGUGGAAGUUGGAGAUACAAGAGCCAAAGGGGAGAGAAUGUUGAGAACAGGUCUGAUAUGGUUGUUAUCAGCCCUUGUGGUUUCCACUUUUGCCGCUGUUCAAGUGGAAAUAACCGCUAAACAACCGCAAGGAAUUCAAUUCUCAAUACCAGAUCAGGGCUACUCUAUGGUGGGACUGCACUACUCCAUCAACAAGCCCGUGGCUGGGGUCGCAGCAGGAGACUACAACGUGGACAUUCGGACAAAAACAGGU